UCAAGUGCCUGGGCAGCCCCCAGCACCUCAAGAGCAAGUUCAGCAGUGGCUACUCCCUGCGGGCCAAGGUGCAGAGUGAAGGGCAGCAGGAGGUGCUGGAGGAGUUCAAGGCCUUCGUGGACCUGACCUUUCCAGGCAGCGUUCUUGAAGACAAGCACCAAGGCAUGGUCCAUUACCAUCUGCUGGGCCGCGACCUCAGCUGGGCGAAGUUGAGCGCACAUUUUUGACGUGACCCACUUUCUGGGGUGUUUGGCACUCUGGAGCAAGCCAAGAAGUACAUGCUGGACAACUACUCAGCAGUCAGGUCACCAUGGAGGACGUCUUCCUGAGCUUCGCAUGCCCUGUGCCCCUGGUCCAAAGCGAAGACCAACGAGAGCAAGCAGAGCAGGUGGGCUCCUCAUCGUGCUCGCUGCCUCCUUCCCUGCCUCCCUCUCGGCUUUCCUCUCAGUCUCCCUCCCU
rnacentral:lncRNA from 1 species